UGUUUGCGGUCGCGUUUUUCUGGGGUGUCCCACCGCGAUCUCGGGGACCAACCCCUUGAGCUCCUGAUCCCAAGCAGGAAUGCCAGGUGCUUAGAGGAGGAUCUAGAAAGGCCGGGCUUCAGACGUUCCAACCGGACGGAGGUGGGUCUUGGGGAAACGUCCCAAGUCCCACCUGAAAACCUUCGUCUGGGACUGCAGUUGGCCUCCAGGCACACAUUCUAGCUCAGAAGAAACAGAUCGCAAAAAUCCGGAGGAGGCGACGGCACCCAAGCAUCAGCGUUUCGCCUCCGGACCCCAGCGGAAUCUGCGGGACGUUGGGACAGGAACGAAGUCCAAGACUCUGCAGAGACUCGUCCGACCCAGGAGCAGACAGCACUGGCCUAGACACUAGCAGGUAGACAAGGUGGAGGAGAGAGAAUUCCCAGACAACAGAGUUAUGAACAAAUGCAGGACUGAGAAAUAGCCUGGUGGCCUUGUCUUAAGUGUAUACCAAUAGCAGACAGAAUUUCUGAAGGAACAGCAGCUAUUAUGUGUCCCUGAUGAUGGAAGUCAUGGAACAAAGAUUGAGCAGGAAGACAGAAGGAGGCUGGGAACCUGAUGAUGUUCUUGAAUAGUGGUGUUGGCCCUGGAUGACUUACCUGGGACCUCUUCUUAAAUGAGAAUAUUAACUCCUUUCUACUUAAUCCACUGGAGUAGAAUUUUCUGUUACAGUGAAUCUAAUCCUAAUUAAUGAUACUGGCCAAUACAUAUUAGCACCUUUUGUGCCAGUGCGGUUCUAAGCACUUUAUGUACUAACUUUUUUAAUCCUCACAAUGACCUUAUGAGAUAGAUCAGAGGGUCUCAAAGUAUGGUCUCUGGACCAGCAGCAUUAGCAUCACCUGGAAACUUGUUAGA